UACGUAGGGUGCAAGCGUUAAUCGGAAUUACUGGGCGUAAAGCGUGCGCAGGCGGUGAUGUAAGACAGUUGUGAAAUCCCCGGGCUCAACCUGGGAACUGCACUUGUGACUGCAUCGCUGGAGUACGGCAGAGGGGGAUGGAAUUCCGCGUGUAGCAGUGAAAUGCGUAGAUAUGCGGAGGAACACCGAUGGCGAAGGCAAUCCCCUGGGCCUGUACUGACGCUCAUGCACGAAAGCGUGGGGAGCAAACAGG
rnacentral:rRNA from 1 species